rnacentral:misc_RNA from 1 species
AAGUCGUAACAAGGUCUCCGUUGGUGAACCAGCGGAGGGAUCAUUACCGAGUUUUCAACUCCCAAACCCCUGUGAACAUACCAUUUUGUUGCCUCGGCGGUGCCUGUUCCGACAGCCCGCCAGAGGACCCCAAACCCAAAUUUCCUUGAGUGAGUCUUCUGAGUAACCGAUUAAAUUAAUCAAAACUUUCAACAACGGAUCUCUUGGUUCUG